UGAGGAAUAUUGGGCAAUGCCCGCAAGGGUGACCCAGCAACGCCGCGUGGAGGAUGAAUGUCGUAAGAUUGUAAACUCCUGUUAGAGGGGAAGAAUAGUACCGGUUGGACCGGUAUAUGACUGUACCCUCAGAGAAAGCCCCGGCUAACUACGUGCCAGCAGCCGCGGUAAUACGUAGGGGGCAAGCGUUGUCCGGAUUUACUGGGUGUAAAGGGCGCGCAGGCGGGAUAAAAAGUCAGUGGUGAAAUCCUACAGCUUAACUGUAGAACUGCCUUUGAUACUUUUAUUCUUGAGUUCGGGAGAGAGACACGGAAUGCCAGGUGUAGUGGUGAAAUACGUAGAUAUCUGGAAGAACACCAGUUGCGAAGGCGGUCUCUUGGUCCGACACUGACGCUGAGGCGCGAAAGCGUGGGGAGCAAACA
rnacentral:rRNA from 1 species